rnacentral:rRNA from 1 species
ACUCAAAGGAAUAGACGGGGGCCCGCACAAGCGGUGGAGCAUGUGGUUUAAUUCGAAGCAACGCGAAGAACCUUACCAGGUCUUGACAUACCCAUCCUAGUUGUAGAGAUACAACGUUCCUUCGGGAGAUGGGAUACAGGUGGUGCAUGGUUGUCGUCAGCUCGUGUCGUGAGAUGUUGGGUUAAGUCCCGCAACGAGCGCAACCCUUAUGGAUAGUUGCCAGCAGUAAGAUGGGCACUCUAGACAGACUGCCGGAGAUAAUUCGGAGGAAGGUGGGGAUGACGUCAAAUCAUCAUGCCCCUUAUGACCUGGGCUACACACGUGCUACAAUGGGAUGUACAGAAAGAAGCGAGCUGGUGACAGUAAGCAAAUCUCAGAAAACAUUUCUCAGUUCGGAUUGGAGGCUGCAACUCGCCUCCAUGAAGUCGGAAUCGCUAGUAAUCGCAGAUCAGCACGCUGCGGUGAAUACGUUCCCGGGCCUUGUACACACCGCCCGU